GACGAACGCUGGCGGCGUGCUUAACACAUGCAAGUCGAACGGAAAGGCCCUGCUUUUGUGGGGUGCUCGAGUGGCGAACGGGUGAGUAACACGUGAGUAACCUGCCCUUGACUUUGGGAUAACUUCAGGAAACUGGGGCUAAUACCGGAUAGGAGCUCCUGCUGCAUGGUGGGGGUUGGAAAGUUUCGGCGGUUGGGGAUGGACUCGCGGCUUAUCAGCUUGUUGGUGGGGUAGUGGCUUACCAAGGCUUUGACGGGUAGCCGGCCUGAGAGGGUGACCGGCCACAUUGGGACGGAGAAACGGCCCAGACUCCUACGGGGGGCAGCAGUGGGGAAUUUUGCACAAUGGGCGGAAGCCUGAUGCAGCAACGCCGGGUGGGGGAUGGCGGCCUUCGGGUUGUAAACCGCUUUCGCCUGUGACGAAGCGUGAGGGACGGGAAUGGGGAAAGAAGCACCGGCUAACUACGU
rnacentral:rRNA from 1 species